rnacentral:misc_RNA from 1 species
GAUGAAGAACGCAGCGAAAUGCGAUAAGUAAUGUGAAUUGCAGAAUUCAGUGAAUCAUCGAAUCUUUGAACGCACAUUGCGCCCGCCAGUAUUCUGGCGGGCAUGCCUGUCUGAGCGUCAUUUCAACCCUCAUGCCCCUAGGGCGUGGUGUUGGGGAUCGGCCAAAGCCCGCGAGGGACGGCCGGCCCCUACAUCUAGUGGCGGACCCGUCGUGGCCUCCUCUGCGAAGUAGUGAUAUUCCGCAUCGGAGAGCGACGAGCCCCUGCCGUUAAACCCCCAACUUUCCAAGGUUGACCUCAGAUCAGGUAGGAAUACCCGCUGAACUUAAGCAUAUCAAUAAGCGGAGGA